rnacentral:rRNA from 1 species
GAUGAACGCUGGCGGCGUGCCUAAUACAUGCAAGUCGAGCGAACGGACGAGAAGCUUGCUUCUCUGAUGUUAGCGGCGGACGGGUGAGUAACACGUGGAUAACCUACCUAUAAGACUGGGAUAACUUCGGGAAACCGUAGCUAAUACCGGAUAAUAUUUUGAACCGCAUGGUUCAAAAGUGAAAGACGGUCUUGCUGUCACUUAUAGAUGGAUCCGCGCUGCAUUAGCUAGUUGGUAAGGUAACGGCUUACCAAGGCAAGGAUGCAUAGCCGACCUGAGAGGGUGAGCGGCCACACUGGAAGUGAGACACGGUCCAGACGCCUACGGGAGGGAGCAGUAGGGAUUCUGGCGCAAAGGGCGAAAGCCUGACGGAGCAACGCCGCGUGAGUGAUGAAGGUCUUCGGAUCGGAAAACUCUGUUAUUAGGGAAGAACAUAUGUGUAAGUAACUGUGCACAUCUUGACGGUACCUAAUCAGAAAGCCACGGCUAACUACGUG